GUAAUUCAGAGAAAACGGUAAAAUCUGUUAGAUUUUACUGUAAUCCUUUUGGAUACUAUCGGACUGAAAAUCCGUGCGUCAGCGGUUCAAAUCCGCUUGGAGCCA
rnacentral:tRNA from 1 species